AAGAGUACGUGAAACUGCUUAGAGGUUAAACCCGAUGAACCUGAAUAUCCAUUAUGAAAAAUUCAUCACUAAUAUAAAAUUAAAAAUAAAAAUAGUGUGCAAUUUUUUCAUAUAAGGACAUUGUAAUCUGAUAAUGUCAUAAAUAUUUAUCAAAAGAUCUUAUACUUAAGUUUAUUCAAAUUAGUUAUUUUCGAAUUUCUAACAUAAAAUAAAUGUAUUUGAUUGGAUAAAUCAUUGUCAGAUAUAAUUAUAUAAUGUGCUUAAAUUUUUCGGAAUUUUAUAAUAAUAAAUGGAUCUAUUGAUUUGUUUAUUUAAUUAUAUGCACUAUUAUGAUUAACAAUGCGAUAGAUUCAGGAUACCUUCGGGACCCGUCUUGAAACACGGACCAAGGAGUCUAACAUAUGUGCAAGUCAUUGGGUAUUUUUAAUAAAACCCAAUGGCAUAAUUAACUUAACUGUUAAAAUGGGAUUAGUUUAAAUUUUAUUAUGAAAUAUAAAUUCAAUCCCGGGGCGUUCUAUAUAGUUAUGUGUAAUGAUAUUUAUAUUAUUUAUGCCUCUAACUAGAGCGUACCUUGAGCAUAUAUGCUGUGACCCGAAA
rnacentral:rRNA from 1 species